rnacentral:rRNA from 1 species
AUUGAACGCUAGCGGGAUGCCUUACACAUGCAAGUCGAACGGCAGCAUAGGUGCUUGCACCUGAUGGCGAGUGGCGAACGGGUGAGUAAUACAUCGGAACGUGCCCAGUCGUGGGGGAUAACGUAGCGAAAGUUACGCUAAUACCGCAUACGAUCUACGGAUGAAAGCGGGGGACCGUAAGGCCUCGCGCGAUUGGAGCGGCCGAUGUCAGAUUAGGUAGUUGGUGGGGUAAAGGCCCACCAAGCCAACGAUCUGUAGCUGGUCUGAGAGGACGACCAGCCACACUGGGACUGAGACACGGCCCAGACUCCUACGGGAGGCAGCAGUGGGGAAUUUUGGACAAUGGGCGCAAGCCUGAUCCAGCCAUUCCGCGUGCAGGAUAAAGGCCUUCGGGUUGUAAACUGCUUUUGUACGGAACGAAAAGCUCUGGGUUAAUACCCCGGGGUCAUGACGGUACCGUAAGAAUAAGCACCGGCUAACUACGUGCCAGCCGCCGCCGUAA